UACGUAGGGGGCAAGCGUUGUCCGGAUUUAUUGGGCGUAAAGAGCGUGUAGGCGGCCAGACAGGUCCGUUGUGAAAACUCGAGGCUCAACCUCGAGACGCCGAUGGAAACCGUCUGGCUAGAGUCCGGAAGAGGAGAGUGGAAUUCCUGGUGUAGCGGUGAAAUGCGCAGAUAUCAGGAAGAAUAUCCGUGGCGAAGGCGGCUCUCUGGGACGGUACUGACGCUGAGACGCGAAAGCGUGGGGAGCGAACAGG
rnacentral:rRNA from 1 species